UAACUCAAACAUGACUUGCUC
rnacentral:piRNA from 1 species